AUGGGGCCGAGCUGGCGGGGAGCCACGCAGGACUCACACCAGCAGGAACUGGUGGUGCUGGCUCUUCUCAAGGUGCAGCGAUGCCCUUUGCCAGCACAGCCAUGUGGCUGGACAGCUUCUGCUCCCUGCCCCACUGCAGGAUGUGAAGGAAGGCAGUUCCUUGGCAGCGCUGGUGCAGACAAACAGCUUUUUGUUGAAGCAGAACCCGUCCCUUUAGCUCUUCCACCCCUCCCUGCCAUGGCUGUCAGCACUCCAGCUUCGUUUUCCUCUCCUCUUUUCAGCUUUUUUCUGAUUCCACUUCAUGUUUUCCAUCUGUAUUUUCUCUGACAGUACUUGCUGUCCAGUGUGGGUCUAAUCCUUAAAUAUCACAAGGUCUUGGCCAGCUGCUAUAAAGUUCCUCUGAAAUCCUGGUUUAAAAGAAGCUUUGAAGCUCAUGUCAUGGUCUAUUUCUCGUUAUUUGCCUUUCACUGCUACCUGGCAAACUUCUGACCACCAACCAAAGCAAGCUCCAAAUAAAAACUACUUAGGACUUGGUUGUUUCUUUGUUUCUUUUUUUUUUGUUGAAAGCUGGUAGGCAUCGACGACUUCUGACCACAACGGGUACGCAUAUUUCCCUCAAGCAUGGUAGUAGCAGUACUAUGAAGGUCAUGUCAUAAUUCUAAGUUUAUAGUGCAAAACAGUCUGUAUUGCCAGAGCAGCUUCACUUUACAUCAGCUCAACAAAAAUAUUUUUACCUAAAAAGUCGAUGAUGGGGAUUGUUGUUCCCCUACUAGGUGAGAGGAUAGGUGCCUUGCUGACAUGACCGUGAAUCAGUUUACUUCUAUCAGGCAAACUCAGCAUGCAUUUUUCUUCUUUGCAAGUUCUGAAACACCCUUCUGGACCAUUUCAACUCAAGCAGGUUUUACACUCAAUGCAGUUUCUUUCAUUUCCCUUAUUAUUUACCCCAGAAGAGAUCUCCAUGUUUCCCUGGGAGGUGCAGUCAUGCUCAACAGGAUUCCUCUCAAGCUUCUUGCACAUGUCAGCCUAACAAUUCUAUUUCUGUCUGAUUAGAGAAGAAAAUGCUAAAACACGUGUUCAGAUCCACCAGUAUCUUAGACAACAUUUCAAAAAACAAGUAUUUUAAAAAAGCAUGAAAAUACUUGUCCUCCAUCCUGGAGAAAGGGAUUUCCGUGACAACAUCUGAGCCAUAAGGUCACAAUCAAGACCUUGGAUAGUUUUAUCUCACUGCAUCAAGACUGUGGGAGACUUUGUGAUUGCAGGUUAUCACUUUUUGCAUCAUUCUGUUCUGAGUCAGGAUAUUCGUCUAUCCCUGUGCCUACGUGCCACCACUCACUCUGCCUUCUCCAUUGAUUCCAUAAUUCAGUUAAUAAGAAAUCUCCUAAACUGGUGGUUAUUUGCAUAGCUUAAAUUUAUGGUUUCUUUGGAAUCAAUCCUCAUCUGCUCACUUCCUUGUUCAUGCUUAAAGGGUAUCACACUUUGGAUCCUCCCAUCAAUUUGUAUUUUAUUUAAUAUUCCCCACAACAGUGAUGCUUAGUUAAUCAUUCACAAUCUGCUUGUGAUAAAGUCAUCCGAAGAUCUUUUAUCAGAUAUUCAAGAGCGUGGAGGCAUGCACUUCCUCUUGUCCAGGGAGGGAUGGCUGUACUUUUUGUGUUGCUCACUGCGGCUAUCCUGUCCCUUGUUUCCAUGUUUAGUCUGAGAAAUACAGAACUUACCACCAACCUCUGUUGACAGUGGGGUAUUUGUCCACUCUUUUUAUGCCAUUUCCUGGAGUACUGCAAGCCCGUGUACACAGUAGUGUGAGUGACUCAGAGGCCAAACUGCCCAGAAGUCACUCAAGGUAAUUUGGUGGCAUGUAAGGGUCCAAGGCAGGGCUGCAACCCAGAGAAGCUCUACUUUACUUCACAGCUAACUCCUGCAUCAUGUAUCCAGAAACACCUCUCUUCACCCAGAUUUGCUGGGUGGUGGCAAAUCUGUCUGCAUUUACAUCAGUGCCUGGUGGCUGAAGUACUGGCUCAGGUACGUUUAAGGAGGGGUUUAAACCCCAGGCUCUGCUCUCAGUACCUUAGAAGAACAAAAUGUUCUUGGGACAUCUGCAGUUACAAAACAGCUUUCUAAACGGCAUGAUCUGUUCGCUAGUGCAUUUCAAAGACUCUUGUACCGCUUCUUUGCUUGCUCUGACAUUGUCACAUCAAUCCCAUGCAACAACAUGGGUAGGUAUGUGACUCACUGCUCCAAUCUCCUUUCUGAAGUACAGUUUUACUGACUUCACAGUCAUUUUUUUCACACAGGAAAAUGCCAAGUCUCCUCUAGCCAUUGACCCCCACCUCAAUACCAUGUGUGGGAGCUAAGGGUGGGAGCCUUGUUCAGAAUGUGACUCUAGGGCUACAAGUCUUUAUCCAGGAGAGUCACCUGGAUUAAUUGGCAAAUGUUUAAUCCAUGAUCCCUCACAUGCUAUGGCCACACAAUCCCCUACUGAAAUUCCUGCAUGAAUUCAAUUCUGAUAUUAACCCUGCAAGAUUGAGUGGUCAAGUUGUUCGUGCCCUAUGAACCCAGUGGCCUCUGUCCAGAUCCUCCUCUGCAAUGCAUCAGAGUAACAACUUUCUGAGUCUUGUUUACUGAAUUAAGAUGAAGUGGGGCAAAGAAGUGCCAGUGUCAGAAGUUAGCAUCAUACAAUGACAGACCGACUGAUGUAACCUAGAGGGGCCAACUGUGGUUCUUCUCUCCAGCUCCUGUCUAAGUCAGGGUUAACUGUGGAGUUAACCUAAUCAGGUUGAUCAAAGCCUUAUCCAGUCUGGUUGGUGAUGUCCUCGUGGCUGAUGAUCCCUUAACAUAUCUUUGUGCCUGUCCCAUGGCUACACUGUGCAUGUGCUUCAUUCCUUAAGUCCAACUGGUGUGUCUCUAGUGCAAUUUCAGCAAACAAUCACUUGUUGUGUUUUCUAUGAGCACCUCUGAAGUGAGAAGAGUCUGGUUCUAUCUUCUCUAUAUUCAGCCUCUUCGUAACUGAAGGCAGCAAUAACAUUCCCCAGAAACCUUCUCUUUUCCAGGUGAAACAAGCCCAGCUGCU
rnacentral:lncRNA from 1 species